rnacentral:rRNA from 1 species
AUUGAACGCUGGCGGCAGGCCUAAAACAUGCAAGUCGAACGAGUGGCGGACGGGUGAGUAAUUUCUGGGAAACUGUCUGAUGGAGGGGGCUAACUACUGGAACCGGUAGCUAAUACCGCAUACCAUCGGAUGUGCCCAGAUGGGAUUAGCUAGUAGGUGGGGUAAAGGCUCCCCUAGGCGACGAUCCCUAGCUGGUCUGAGAGGAUGACCAGCCACACUGGAACUGAGACACGGUCCAGACUCCUACGGGAGGCAGCAGUGGGGAAGAUUGCACAAUGGGCGAAAGCCUGAUGCAGCCAUGCCGCGUGUAUGAAGAAGGCCUUCGGGUUGUAAAGUACUUUCAGCGGGGAGGCGUUACCCGCAGAAGAAGCACCGGCUAACUCCGUGCCAGCAGCCGCGGUAAUUC